rnacentral:snRNA from 10 species
GGAUGUGAGGGUGAUGUGGCUGCACCAUCUGUCACUCCAUCAAUCACCAGGGUUGGUUAGCUGAUCUGGAUGGCUAGGUGGUGUCCCCUUCUUCCCUCACCGCUCCAUGUGCGUCCCUCCUGAAGCUGUGCGCUUGGUCGAAGAGGACGACCACCUCCAAUAGAGGAGGAGCGGUCUUUGGUCCAGGGUAUAUGAGUAGCUGCACUCCCCUGCUAGAACCUCCAAAAAAGCUCUCAAAUACACCUAUUUUUUGAAGGCCCUCAUCUUAUCACCCACUUCUUUUAUUGGAUUAAAUAUAUUAAACAUGCAAUAUCAUGUAUU